UACGGGGGGGGCAAGCGUUGUUCGGAAUUACUGGGCGUAAAGGGCUCGUAGGUGGCCAACUAAGUCAGACGUGAAAUCCCUCGGCUUAACCGGGGAACUGCGUCUGAUACUGGAUGGCUUGAGGUUGGGAGAGGGAUGCGGAAUUCCAGGUGUAGCGGUGAAAUGCGUAGAUAUCUGGAGGAACACCGGUGGCGAAGGCGGCAUCCUGGACCAAUUCUGACGCUGAGGAGCGAAAGCCAGGGGAACAAACGGG
rnacentral:rRNA from 1 species